rnacentral:lncRNA from 1 species
AGCGCGCAGCUGAUACCAGGGGACUGGGCUGCGGCGGUUAGUCCUCUCCCGGCCGCCGUCGCCUCCGACAUAUUGCCCGCUGGAGCUGCGGCGGCGAAGCGGAGAGCGCCGGGGGGAGGAGAUGGGAGGACGAAGAGGUCCCAACAGGACAUCCUACUGUCGAAAUCCACUCUGUGAGCCAGGAUCCUCUGGGGGCUCAGGUGGGGGCCACACUUCCAGCGCAUCAGUCACCAGUGUCCGUUCCCGCACCAGGAGCAGUUCUGGGACGGGCCUCUCCAGCCCCCCCACUGGCCACCCAGACGGUCGUGCCCCCUGCAGCACUGCAAGAUCCCCGAGCUGCCAGUCCAGGCCAGCAUUCUGUUUGAGUUGCAGCUCUUCUUCUGCCAGCUCAUAGCCCUCUUCGUCCACUACAUCAACAUCUACAAGACAGUGUGGUGGUAUCCGCCCUCCCACCCGCCCUCCCACACCUCCCUGGUUUGGGAUGUACAUUCCGUUUCCUGCAGCUGAACUGUGACCUCCGCAAGACAAACCUCUUCAGCCACAUGGCCUCCAUGGGUCCCCGGGAGGCGGUCAAGUGGCCUGGCACGGAGCCGGGACUACCUGCUGACACUUGCGGGAGACGUGGAAGCAGCACACGCGGCAGCUGUACGGCCCGGACGCCAUGCCCACCCACGCCUGCUGCCUGUCGCCCAGCCUCAUCCGCAGUGAGGUGGAGUUUCCUCAAGAUGGACUUCAACUGGCGCAUGAAGGAGGUGCUGGUCAGCUCAUGCUGAGCGCCUAUUUACGUGGCCUUUGUGCCUGUUUGGUUCGUGAAGAACACACAUUACUAUGACAAGCGCUGGUCCCUGCGAGCUCUUCCUGCUGUGUCCAUCAGCACCUCGGUGAUCCUCAUGCAGCACUGCUGCCUGCCAGCUACUGCGACCUGCUGCAUAAGGCCGCUGCCCCACCUGGGCUGCUUGGCAGAAGGUUUGACCCAGCACUGUGCUCCAAUGUACUGCAGCACCCGUGGACUGAAGAGUGCAUGUGGCCACAGGGCGUGCUGGUGAAGCACAGCAAGAACGUCUACAAAGCAGUGGGCCACUACAACGUGGCCAUCCCCUCCGAUGUCUCCCACUUCCGGUGUCCACGUGAGUCUCCUCCCCUGGGAAGGAGGGGUGGGGCCUGAUCUAGAGGGCAGGAGGAUCAGCUGGGCAGGAAGGUGAUGUCAUAGCAAGAGGCGGCCUAUUUCGAUAUUCCCAAAUCCAAAAGAAGACAAUGCACAUGUGCAGCCCAAGGACGGCCAUACAAAUGAUCCCUUCAUAACUGUAGCUCACUUGGUACCAGAUCUUUGAAAACAUUGGGUGGAGGUAGAAAAGAUGAUACAACAAAAGGAGGGGUUGUUGGUGGUGAAAAUAAUUACACUCGUCAUUCCUUACUGUGUGCUAGGCACUGUGGUAAACACUUUCCAUGCACCCUCCCAUUCAGUCUUCACCAGAACCUUGUGUAUGAAAGAAAUACCAGGGCUGUCCUGGUUUUCAGGUACUGAAAUCAGCUUAGAGAGUUUAACUUGUUCCAAGGGUGCCUUACUGGGAAACUUGGGAACUAAUGGUAAUGACUCAUGGACCCAGUACAAUGGAAAGGGCUGCUCAAAAUCAUCUGGGCUGGUGGUUUCCAUUUUAUUUACUUAUUUUACUGUUAAAAUCCUUUUCUCCAACUCAGUCAAACUAAAGUUCAGUAUAUAGGACUUCAUGGCGCUGCUCUGUUUGAAAGGGUUGGAACUCCCCUCACUUCCUGCUGACCACUGUGGUAGCCCCUAAAAGACCUCCUGGAACCUGGGCCUCUGAGGAACACAGUUUGAGAAAUCAUUGAUCUGGGCUAACCUCUUCUUUUCCCAGUAGAGAAACCUGAGGUUCAGACAGGGAAGGGACUUGCCCAAGGUCCUGCAGCCUGUCAGGUGCAGAGCUGAGCCUGGCGUGCUGGUCUCUCGGACUCCUGUAUCCUGGCACUUCUCCUGCCAUCCUAUAAUCAGCUCUUGAGGUUUAGGUACCUUGGCCCCUGCAGAAUCAAGAUCCCUGGACACGAUCAUUCUUUUAAACUGACCAGAAAAAUUUUCUUAGUCUCUACACUCUACCUUGCCCUGUAGACACCAGGUAAGAGUGAUGUGUCUCCGUGUCCCCUGGAAGCUUCCGGCCUAGCGGGGGAUGCUACACGUGAAAUAGUAAAUGACUCAGGCUGUAGAGUCUAUAAUAACUUUCCAUGCCUCUGUCAUAAGAUUCUACUUUGUUCAGGCCUGACAGUACCCAGGAAGUCACAUAUAAUAAGGUGUUGGUUUUCGACCAGCAAAAGUUUGAGAGAACAAGUAGGACUUCUCAAGAAAGGCUUCUGGGAGGAGGUGGAAGUUGAUCCGGAUCUUUUUUUUGUUUUUUUUUGAUCCGGAUCUUAAACAGCUUCUGUGGGAAGCAGUAGUCUUGACAGAAGGAAAACCACAAACAAAGGCAGAGAGAUGGCAAGGUCCACGCCCAGCCCUAUGAAGUCUUCCUCCCCACCCAAGUCUGCAUGGGGCCCGAGAGCUUGACCCCUUCACUGGCCUACCCAGAACCCCCUUCCAAGAGGCAGGUUUCUGGAGCCCACUUUCCAGUCCAUGCCUACUCUUUCCUGGGCAGUUCUUUUUCAGCAAACCCCUGCGGAUCCUCAACAUCCUUUUGCUGCUGGAGGGCGCUGUCAUCGUCUACCAGCUGUACUCCUUAAUGUCCUCUGAUAAGUGGCACCAGACCAUCUCACUGGCGCUCAUCCUCUUCAGCAACUACUACGCCUUCUUCAAGCUGCUGCGAGACCGCCUGGUAUUGGGCAAGGCCUACUCGUACUCGGUCAACCCCCAGAGGGACCUAGACCACCGGUUCUCCUGAGCCCCAGGGCGACCCAGGGACAGCAUCCAGGCUUCAGCCAGGGGCUCCCUGGGAAGCGGCUGUUGGGGAGGGAUGGGUGGGGGGCAAAAAAAAAAAAAAAAAAAAAAAGACAAAAAAAAUCCACCAGAGCUUUGUAUUUUUGUUACAUACUGUUUUUCUUUGAUAAUUGAUGUGAUUAUGAGGAGAAAAAAAAAGUCCUAUUUUUAUACUCCC